GCUGGCGUGUUAGCAGCACAUGCUAAGAUUGGAAGGAUGCGGAGAAGAUUAGCCUGGCUCCUCGUGCCGGGAUGACCCCCACAUUUGUAAGGUGCUCCACAUUUUU